AACGAACGCUGGUGGCAGGCUUAACACAUGCAAGUCGAGCGCCCCGCAAGGGGAGCGGCAGACGGGUGCGUAACGCGUGGGAACGUACCUUUUGGUUCGGAACAACUCCGGGAAACUGGAGCUAAUACCGGAUAAGCCCUAACGGGGAAAGAUUUAUCGCCGAAAGAUCGGCCCGCGUCUGAUUAGCUAGUUGGUGAGGUAACGGCUCACCAAGGCGACGAUCAGUAGCUGGUCUGAGAGGAUGAUCAGCCACACUGGGACUGAGACACGGCCCAGACUCCUACGGGAGGCAGCAGUGGGGAAUAUUGGACAAUGGGCGCAAGCCUGAUCCAGCCAUGCCGCGUGAGUGAUGAAGGCCUUAGGGUUGUAAAGCUCUUUUGUCCGGGAAGAUAAUGACUGUACCGGAAGAAUAAGCCCCGGCUAACUUCGUG
rnacentral:rRNA from 1 species